GACCAACUAAGUUUGUUCUGGGUAUAAGCUUUCAUGUGCAUGCAGACACGAAAGCUUAUACCCAGAACAAACUUAGUUGGUC